UACGGGGGGGGCAAGCGUUGUUCGGAAUUACUGGGCGUAAAGGGUUCGUAGGUGGCCAACUAAGUCAUACGUGAAAUCCCUCAGCUUAACUGGGGAACUGCGUCUGAUACUGGUUGGCUUGAGUGCAGGAGAGGAACGCGGAAUUCCAGGUGUAGCGGUGAAAUGCGUAGAUAUCUGGAGGAACACCGGUGGCGAAGGCGGCGUUCUGGACUGCAACUGACACUGAGGAACGAAAGUGUGGGGAUCAAACAGG
rnacentral:rRNA from 1 species